rnacentral:misc_RNA from 1 species
GGCAGCGGUCGGGCUGGUUGAUUCGCAAUCGGACUCUGCUUUCUUUCUCCAAAUCUGGCGUUUCCAGGUACUGCCAUUUUUGCUUGUAAGUUUAGGGUCGCACUUUUUGUUUCUUUCUUCUUCUUUUUUUAAUCCCUAACCACCAAAUCACAUAAACCCAUGUCCAGCUCUUCAUUCACUCGAUUUUUCUCGCAAUCUAUAACACCCAAAAUCCCCAAAAUCUCUGCUUCACACUUCGCCACUUCCUUGGCAGAUAAACUUUACACUCUUUUGCAAAAGAAUCCUGAAAAUGCUGAGAGAGCUCUGAAUUCAAUCCAAGCUAAAUUGGACACCGCGUGCGUCAAUGAGGUCUUAAACAAAUGCUCCUUUAACAAUUCUCAAAUUGGUCUUCGCUUUUUUAUCUGGGCUGGUUGCCAUUCAAAUUAUAGGCAUAGUUCUUUUAUGUAUGGUAAAGCUUGUCAAUUGUUUAAGAUUGAGCAAAACCCGCGAGUUAUUCUGGAUUUAUUCGAGGCUUUUAAGGUAGAGAAGUGUGUGGUUAAUGUUAAGACAUUUAAGGUCGUUUUGAGUUUGUGUAAAGAGUGUAGGCUUGCUGACGAGGCCCUUUUGGUACUGAGGAAAAUGCCUGAAUUUGACCUACGUGCGGAUACUAAUGCCUAUAACAUUGUCAUUAAGUUGUUUUGUGACAAGGGUGAUAUGAAUAUGGCUCAAAAAUUGAUGGGAGAGAUGGGUAUGAUAGAUCUUUAUCCUGAUAUGGUCACAUAUAUGUCAAUGCUUAAAGGGUUUUGUGAUGUAGGCAGACUGGAGGAGGCUUCUAGUUUGUUUAAAGUUAUGAGAGGACAUGGUUGUGUGCCUAAUGUAGUGGCAUAUUCAACGCUUAUUGAUGGAGUUUGUAGGUUUGGGAGUGUGGAGAGGGCAAUGGAGUUGUUAGGGGAGAUGGAGAAGGAGGGUGGGGAUUGUAAUCCAAAUAUUCUUACUUACACCUCUUUGAUACAGAGUUUAUGCGAGAAGGGUAGGACAAUGGAUGCAUUUUCAGUUUUGGAUAGAAUGGAGGCUUUUGGUUGUGCUCCAAAUCGUGUCACAGUUAGUACUCUGCUCAAAGGUCUUUGUAUGGAAGGCCAUCUAGAGGAGGCCUAUAAGUUGAUUGAUAGAGUUGUGGUAGGAGGUAGCGUUUCAUACGGUGAUUGCUAUAGUUCUCUCGUUGUGUGUUUGAUAAGGAUUAAGAAAAUUGAGGAGGCAGAGAAGCUCUUUAGGAGGAUUCUAGUCAGUGGAGUGAAACCUAAUGGUUUGGCAUGGAGUCUCAUGAUUAAGGAGCUUUGUUUGGAAAACCGGGUGCUUGAUGGGUAUUGCUUAUAUGAAGAAACUGAGAAGAUAGGAUGCUUCCCUACCAUUGAUUCUGAUAUCUAUUCUAUUCUUUUAGUUGGUCUUUAUCAACAAGGCUACUCAGCAGAAGCUACAAAGCUUGCAAGGUCAAUGCUUGAAAAAGGAACACCUCUAAAGCAUCCAUAUGUUGAUAAAGUAGUUGAACACCUGAAGAAAUCUGGGGAUAAUGAGCUUGCUGCAGAAUUGGCUAACACUGGAAUGUAAUGCACAACAAAAGAUGAAUUUGUUUUCAUUGAAGACCCUUGUUGGAUAUUUUAGAGUAAAAUUUUCUAUAUACAAUCAUUGAUUCUGUCAUGUGAAGAAGAUUAUGAGAUGCAAGAGAAUUAAUUUUUGAAAAUAUAGAUGUUGCACCUUAUUUUGAUUCAUUUUAAAUUGUGGGCCUUCGGAAGUGAACUUCGGCAGUCAUCACUCAUUGUUUACUUAAGAUGAAUUUGAGAGUAAUCUUGAUUCCAGAAGAAAAGCUGUGUCAUGGGCCAGCUGUUGUUCACAUGGUUCUCUCCCAGCAGGUGUGUAUUUGUUAUUAGAUGCUAAAUAAUUAUUUGCAUAAAUGUAAAUGGCUUGUUACUGAAACUGAAAUUUUUUUGUGGUGUAGCCAUAUAAUAAAUGGUAAAUGGCUGUUCAUUUUGUCUUUUGCCUAAGUGGGAGCUAAUUUUGUUUUCCAGAUAACGUUAGCCACUUCGCAGAGGUGUAAGGCUAUUUUUCCUUUGGUUGCUUAGAAUUUGAUUGAAUACCAAAUAAUUUUUGCUAGAGAUCUGGUGAAAAGGAUCUGGUGAAAAGGUUCUGGUAGUAGCUUGCAGCUAUUUUUCUUCUAGUGUCUGGUUCGAAGAAAAUGUGAAUCUGUUAUUGGGCUGUGGGAGCUCAUCAGUGUUGACUUUCAAAGUAUAUUAAUUGAAACAUUGAGAUUUCUAUGAAUAACCAUUGAAUCAUAUGCAAAUUAUCAUCAGCUUUGGAGUUUAUCAUAAUGGUGAAAAGAGAUGAGUGAAUGUUGGUGAGUGAAAGUUCCAGCUAGAAAGCUCAAAAGUUGUUUAAAGAAAUAUAGUGGAAAUAUGCAAUGUAAACGAAAGAGUUUCUGCUAUGAUGAUGGGAAGGGAGAUCCUUUAAAUAUGUUUACCUUUUGUUUUUUCCCAGGCUAAUAAGGUGUCUAUCCUUUGUGCAGCAGGAGGAAUCUCAAACUUAAAUUGGCAAGUAUCAAUUUCGACUUGGUUUUCUGCUUUGAAAAUUUGUUGAUUUUUAUUUCCUUUAGCAAUACAAAUCAAUUAAUGAAUGCUGUAUUCAAUGCCAAGCAAGAUCUUCUAAAUUUUGUGGGGUUUACCUUUUAAAUUGAUAUUGAUAUGUGGACAUUUUUUUUUAUUAUUUGGAGUCUGGUGCAUCUUGAUAGUGACUUCAUGAGAGAGUUUGUAAUUUGCAUUGUUAAAUCUUCCAUUUUCUUUUCCAAAUUAAGGAAAGAUAGAUUUGAACUUCAAUUUUUUUUAUUAUAUAUAUUUUUUAACAAUUUUAACCUUUGCUUCACUUCAACAGAUGGCACGUUGAAGCUCUUUGCAUAGUGAAAAGCUUCUUGGAUGUAGUUCAUUAGUGUGAUUUUGGUUUAUAUUUUUUUCUUUGGUAUUUAUUUGGUUCUUUGACUAUAAUUUGCUUUUGGUGCAUUGGCAAGUGAGAUGUGUAUUACAUAACUACAGAAAUUGACUUUAUAAGAAGGAAAGUAAACAUUGAUCUUGGAGUUCUUUGGAGUUUAGGGUUUAGACAGCCAAUGCUCAUCCUUUCAUACUGCAGUCUGUUUGAUCAAAUUAUCAACAGUAUUUUUUUUUUCUUCACAAAAAUGUAUUAUGGUUAUAUAGGAUUUGCACUAGUGUUCUCUAUGAUUCCCUUGUACAGGAGAGAGAGUUUAGAUUCUAACUAGUUGUGAUGCUUUGACUUUUAUAUUGUGAUGAAUGAGAUUGAGCAAAAAAAUUAGAUAAGGCUCUAAAAAGUUCUUGGUGAAGUCAUCUAGCCAAAUUGGAGUGCCUUGUGUGCUUAAUACAAAUGAAAUGUUCUGGUGCCUGGAAAGUCCCCAGAAAAAGGGAGGUAAACAAGUUAUCCAUGAUGACCGAACUCUACAUAAACAGCCAUGUCAUGAGUAUUCAUUCGGAAGUACUCCUAUGUAGCCAUUGCUCUUGGAUUGAUGUAUCAUUUUGGAAUAUGGAAAAUGUUUGUGGUCCCUGGUGUUGGCUUUUUGUUUAUGGAUCUUUUUAAAAUUCCUUAGACAUGGGAUUCUCAAUGUUCGUGAGAUCUGGUUCUUUCUUGGAUUGAUGUAUUGUUUUGGAACAUGGAAAAUGUUUAUGGUCCUUGGUUUUCGUUUUUUGUUUAUGUAUCUUUUUAAAAUUCCUUAAGAGUAGAAGACAUGGGAUUCUCAAUGUUUGUGAGAUCUGGUUCUUUUGGUUUUUCAUCCGUGGAAUUUUCAGGAGUUGCUCAUUUUAGGACAUAUGAUUGCUGCUUCUCAUUUUUUCCUAUCUUCAAUAAAAGUAGAUCCUGGAGAUGCUUAGUGUCAAAGCUGUGGUUUAUAUUUGACACAUUGCCCAUUUUACUCAAGUUUCUGUCUGAUAUAAAUUUGUAGUCCUUGUCAUUGUUGUAGUCUUGUAGAGAAGUUGAAUUGUUUGUAUUUCCUUGGUUUGCUGGAUGAGAUUCUGAGGAUGCUUCAAUUGAAUGCCAAGUUGCCAUUGUCAAACAGUUUUCAUAUUAGACAUUUAUAUUUGCAAUGAAAUCAUUACAUGAAAGUGCCUGGCGAACACAAUGAUAUUGUUGUUGCAGUUUUUAAUCUUCUAUUGUAGUUUGUAAAGUUGUUCAAUCAAGGAGGUUAACGAUAUCCUCUCUCUGCUGUCUGCUCUCAAUUGCUAUCCUACUUUUUGUUGCUACUUGAAUGGAUUUUCUACUCAUAUUCCAGGAUGUGAUGCGCACUUAUAUUAAGGUCCUCCAAUGUCUGUCUACUUUUUUUCAUUUGUUUUUUCCCCUUAUUUUCUUUGUAAUGUAUAAUGAGGAUCAUUUAUUAUUAAGUCAUAUCAUUAUCUUUUUACUAUUGAUGGGAAUGAAAACUACAUGAAAAUGUUGAUGAGACACAUUUUGUCAAAGCAAUUUUCCCAGCUGGGAAUGCAUAACUGGUGAUGUUUUAUUAGUAUGUUCGUUGGAUUGUUUUUUAAAGCAAUCUAAGAUUUCUGCCUUCAAUUAGUAUGAGGCGGCUU